GAAAAAUCUUUAAAGCAUCAUUUUCGAUCUAUUACCCCUUCCGUUGAUGUGUUCGUUAUUAAUCUCUUCGUGGACGGCCUUCCUUUACAUAACAGUUCUCCCACCGAAUUUUGGCCAAUUAUGAUGCAGCUUUACGAACAGCCGGAAGUUCCUAUCUUAACGUUAGGAAUAUAUUGCGGAUCGUCGAAACCACACAAUGUGGAGGACUACCUACGGCCUCUAAUAGUUGAUUUGAACCACGCAAUAGAAGAAGGAAUUGUGAUCAACCGAAAGAAGAUCAACAUAUGUUUAAGAGCAUUUAUUGCUGAUACCCCGGCACGAACAUUCAUAAAAGGAGUAGCAGCUCACAACGGUUAUCAAGGCUGUACAAAAUGCAAAAUUGCGGGAAGAUAUUGCAAAGCAGGACGAAAGAUUAUUUUCGAAGGAGUAGCUGCCGAGCGGACGGAUGCUGAAUUUAGAGGUGGAAAUUACAUCAUAGGGCAUCAAAAAAAAUUGACACCACUUUUAGACGUAAAAGGAUUAGAUGUAGUUAAACAAAUUUUAGUGGCAGACGAAUUGCAUAUAAUCCAUUUAGGAAUAAUACGAAAAUUAUUGAAAGGCUACACAGUAGGAGCUUUAUCUCCGUUUGAAAAAUGGAAUCAUGAAGAAAUUUCAGAAUUUUCAAAAACUUUGGUUAGUAUAGAGUUACCAGCUGAAAUUCAUCGAGUUGUUAGACCGCUGCAACAUGUAGCAUA